AUCCAGCUGACGAGUCACAAAUAGGACAAAACGUGCGUCAAUCUGGAU
rnacentral:hammerhead_ribozyme from 1 species